AACCAAACCCAGGCACUCAGGAUGGGCUAGUGUUUACCAUAAAAGCUCAGCCUACAGAGGACAACAAAGCCCUAUCAGCUAUAGAAGACAGGAGAAUGAACACCUUUCUGCUUCCUCCAUGAAGAUUGCAGUUUGCUGUAAGCUGGCAUUGUAUCACGCAGGCACCUUUAUCCUACAAAACCCUAGAGGCACACCCUGUUAAGCUCUGGAUCGGGAAGAUCUG